CCCUGAGCCGCCCCCCGGCCUGCGCCGGAUCCCCCUUCUCGCGGCCCCCCCCCCCAGGGCACGGACGGUUGUUUUUGGGUUGUUUAUUUUUUUUUAGCACCUUUUUGUUGUUUCUGAGUUUUUAGAAGGUUUUUCAUUCACGGUUUGAGCAGCUCCCGCGGUGCGCCAGGAGGAACAUGGGCGCAGCCUGCCUCCAGCGCCGCGUGUCGCACUGUGGCCGUCGGCGCCGCACAGCUCCGUUUGCAGCCCAAACCAUCGGUGCCGCACGCGGCCCCUCCGUUCCCCCCCCACCGCCUUCUUAGCGUUGCGUUCCAUCCAGGCACGGCGUCGGACUCGACCCCAUGGCGCCAGGGUGAGGACGGCAGCCUCAAGUGUGAGUGAAAAAUACAGCCUGAAAAACGACAGCCCUGCUCGGCAGAAAUACAGCCUGACAGAGCAGCAGUGCAGUCUGCUGGGGUAGAAAUACAGCCUGACAGGACAACCAUGCAGCCAGCUGGGGUAGGAAUGGAGCCUGGUGGGGCAGCAAGUGCAGCUGGGUGGGGUAGAAAUACAGCCUGAUGGGGCAGCAGUGCAGCUGGAUGGGGUAGAAAUACAGCCUGAUGGGGCAGCAGUGCAGCUGGAUGGGAUAAAAACACAGCCUGAUGGGGCAGCAGUGCAGCUGGUCGGGGUCCACGCAGCACAGGUUGCUGUCAGGUGGCUGCAGUGGCUGCAGCAGCACCACCCCCCGUGUGCCUCAUUGGCGAGGAUUCGUUCACCAGCGCGGCGCUGGAGGUAAGGAGCAGCCUAACAAUUCUCCCCUCGUUUUCCAGGCUGGUGGCAGCACCGAGGGUCCCCAGGAGCGGCAGGAACAGCUUUGAGGUAGAGCAGGAGGAGCGCAGCCACAGGCAGAGGUGCGCUGCUAGCAAUGAGCUGAGUGGCAGCGCUGGAAAAGAGACCAGAAAGUCAUCGCUGUACCCAGGGAGGCGCUGGAAAGGAUGAGCAGCUCGUAGGAGAGGCAGCUGUAGCUGUAGGAGGCAGCCAGGGGAGCAGCAAGGAAAAAACCCCAACAAACCGAAACCGAACCAAAAGGAGCUACAGCCCAGGCUGCGAGACGGGGAACGGGGAAGCAAAGCUCGUGCUACGGCUACGCUCGCGCUGAACCUGAGCCUAGACCAGCUAGGGGCUGGAGAGCGGCACGGGGAGGCGAGAAAGCAAAUCCUGAAAGACUGAACGUAAAGUGGGGGCCGGGGAAGGGGGAUCAGCUACUUCUGACUACGCUACGAAGAAGCUCGAGCGUCCGUUAGGGACCGAUUCGUUAGGUGAAACGGGUGUGCUUUGAAGCCCAGCACAGUCAGACGCGCACGGCACGGGAACC